AACGAACGCUGGCGGCAGGCCUAACACAUGCAAGUCGAACGCCCUAGCAAUAGGGAGUGGCAGACGGGUGAGUAACACGUGGGAACCUUCCCUAUAGUACGGAAUAUACCAGGGAAACUUGGAGCAAUACCGUAUACGCCCGAGAGGGGAAAGAUUUAUCGCUAUAGGAUGGGCCCGGCGUAGGAUUAGCUAGUUGGUGAGGUAAUGGCUCACCAAGGCGACGAUCCUUAGCUGGUUUGAGAGAACGACCAGCCACACUGGGACUGAGACACGGCCCAGACUCCUACGGGAGGCAGCAGUGGGGAAUAUUGGACAAUGGGCGCAAGCCUGAUCCAGCCAUGCCGCGUGAGUGAUGAAGGCCUUAGGGUUGUAAAGCUCUUUUGUCCGGGACGAUAAUGACGGUACCCGGAGAAUAAGUCCCGGCUAACUUCGUG
rnacentral:rRNA from 1 species